GUGCUAAUAAAUGUUUCAGCUAUUGAAGCUGCCCAGAAAUAGUGUCUUAGAUCUGUGUUUUUUUGUCUCAUUCAGAAUUAAACAAUUUUCUGACAAGGGAUGCAUUUCCUUUUAACAGAGUUUGCUAUAUUCAUAUUCAGGUAAUAUGUAAAAUGCAAUUUUACAGCAAAUACAGGUUUUUUUCUUUUUGUAAAAAUUUUAGAGCUACACUUCUGCUUGAAAGAAUCAGUGUUCAUUUUAAAAAAAA